rnacentral:rRNA from 1 species
UACGUAGGGGGCAAGCGUUGUCCGGAAUCAUUGGGCGUAAAGAGCGUGUAGGCGGCCCGAUAAGUCCGCUGUGAAAGUCCAGGGCUCAACCCUGGGAUGCCGGUGGAUACUGUCGGGCUCGAGUCCGGAAGAGGAGUGUGGAAUUCCUGGUGUAGCGGUGAAAUGCGCAGAUAUCAGGAGGAACACCAGUGGCGAAGGCAGGCA